UAUCCCUACGGAUGACAUUUUGGACACGCAAUAACGUGUUAGACCAUUUGUUGUUGUUUUCUUGACAAUAUUUUCUUUCUUGUUCAUGGAAGACAUAAGUCAAGUUUGUUCAGUAUGGGUUGGAUCAGAAACAGGGCUAUUGAAAGGUGGGGUCUGUGAAUGGCACAGUGAAGAGGUUCAGCACAGAGGAGGGCAUCAUUACUGAGACCAGACAGUCUGGGGAGAGCAACCAGGGCAGGUUCACAGGACUCGCCGCCACAGACCGGUUGGAAUAAAUAUUGUGAAGAAUGUUUGUCGGAUGCGACAGAAUCCCUAACGGCGCAACCAAGUGGCUACAGGAGGGAAAGAGAAUGGCCUGGGAUCCGGAGAGACCUGAAACACCGGUCUUCGCCUCCAAGAAUGUGCGUAAUGACUGGCUGGACCUGCGGGUGCCAGAGUGGGUUAGAGACAUGGCCUUCAUCACAGACUCAGACAAGAUGGACACCUGCACAGCUCAACACCAGGCCUAGAGUGUGUGGGUGUUUUAAAGGGGCUGGCAGGAGGGGUGUGGGGGCUUCAGUUCCACCCUUCUCUCUGGUGGCUUCUUGUGGUUUGGACCGCUUUCUGAGGGUACACAGCCUGGAGGACCGCUCUCUACGGAACAAGGUGUAUCUGAAGUCACGACUCAACUGUGUGCUUCUGUCCAGCGGAGAUCUCGAGCUGGGCAGUACAGGAGUGAACAGAGAUGUGGAGGAAGUAAAAGAAGAUAGAGGAGAACUGGAUAAGGUGUGGAACACUGUGGGGAUGAUAAAAGAGAAGGCGAAGAAAAGAGAAACAGAUGAAGCUGUUGUUGAAGAGGCAGAGAAGAUGAAGCUGUUGUUGAAGAGGCAGAGAAGAUGAAGCUGUUGUUGAAGAGGCAGAGAAGAUGAAGAUGUUGUUGAAGAAGCAGACAAGAAGACUAAGAAGAGGCAUCAAACACUAUUUAUUUCUGAAACAUAUUAUACCCUUAUAUUAAACUAAAUAUGGCUGAUACCGCAGUAGACACGACCACCGAGAUUUCAGAAAAGGAGCUCAAGGAGAGGUGGAGGAGAAGGAUAAUGGCAGUCGGGACGCACCAGCCAACAGCAAUGGAACACACACAAAUGGUGAAGAAAAGACGGAGAUAAAGGGGGUGGAGGUCGGGCUUCCUUCUGAGAAUUCAUAGGCGAGUGAGUAAACUUCCACUACCAUUCGUACUAUUGGCCAUCGUGCAAUCACUGGAAAAUAAAAUGGAUGAUCUACGAUUAAGAAUAUCCUACCAACGUGACAUUAAAAUCUAUACUCUUAUGUUUCACCAAGUCGUGGCUGAACGACGACACGGAUACUAUAGAGCUGGCUGGGUAUUCCGGGCAUUGGCAGGACAGAGAAGCUAUGUCUGGUAAGACGAGGGGCGAGGAGGUGUGUCUUUGUAAAUAAGAGCUGGUGCACAAUUUCUAAUAUUAAAGAAGUCUCGAGGUACUGCUCGCCUGAGAUAGUGUGGUUUACAGCUUAUCAUGAGGUAUUCUAUCUACCAAGAGAGUUCUCAUCUAUAUCUAUUUACCACCCCAAACCGAUGCGGGCACUAAGACCACACUCAACGAUCUACAUAAGGCCCUAAGUAAAGAAAACAAUGCUCAUCCAGAAGCGGCGCUCCUAGUGGCUGGGGACUUUAAUGCAGGCAAACUUAAAUCCGUUUGACCAAAUUUUGACCAGCAUGUCACAUUUGCAACCAGAGGGAUACAUACAAAACUCUCCCUCACCGUCCAUUUGGCAAAUCUGACCAUAAUUCUAUCCUCCUGCUUACAAGCAAAAACUAAAGCAGGAAGUACCAGUGACUUGUUCAAUAUGGAAGUGGUCAGAUGA